rnacentral:rRNA from 1 species
UACAGAGGUCUCAAGCGUUGUUCGGAUUCAUUGGGCGUAAAGGGUGCGUAGGCGGCGCGGUAAGUCGGGUGUGAAAGCCCGGGGCUUAACUCCGGGUCUGCGGUGGAUACGGGCAGACUAGAGGCAGGUAGGGGAGAACGGAAUUCCCGGUGUAGCGGUGAAAUGCGCAGAUAUCGGGAGGAACACCGGUGGCGAAGGCGGUUCUCUGGACAGUUCCUGACGCUGAGGCACGAAGGCCAGGGGAGCAAACGGG